CGGGGCCGGCGCGAUCCCGCGGCGCUUCGCUCGAGGCUCUGGGAUUGUCUCGGGCUGGUUUUGGGUGCGGGUUUUGGGUGUCUGCGCACACCCUGCCCUGGUCACAGCCCUGCCUCAGCUCGCUGCACUCCCCGCACCCCUCGCUCAGCUCCGCGGGGAUUUGUGCCUCCUCUGAAAGUGGGGAAUGUCUGCAAAGGAAGUCGGGAAGCCGCUCCCAGUGUUUCUUUUCCAGCCUUUUCUGCCCAGCACCGCAGUGGUCGACAAGGAAACCAGAAAAGCAGGAAAAGAAAAAAAAAACCCAAACCGCACCGUGCCAACCCCCAGCUCCUCCCGCUUCUUUCUGGGAGAAGACUGGAUUAAUCUAAAUCAAUAUAUAGCAUUUAUGUAUUUUCCUUACAGUCUGUACAGUUUAGAAGUAAGGAAGUUACACACACCACAGCUUUGUCUGCCUACCCUCAAAAAGCCACGUACUGUGUUUUCUCCCUGUGUAGCUCUUGUUUAGAGAUGCAACAAAAAUUAAAUGACUUGUAAUUUAAGAUCAGACCCAAGAUCUCUCCCUCUCUUGUCUCUCAAAUACACACGGACACGAAUUUUGCUUUGCUGUUAUUCACCAGGUUUGGAGGGAGGAUUUUUAAUGCAGAUGGAGCUUGUGCCACAUCUUUGCCAAGUACCUCAAUCUGCCAGUGUUUAAUUGUCACUUCUGAUCCACAAGAAGCCCCAGAGGUGAUGACCAGCUUAGCUCUCCAGCUCUCCCUGGUCAGAGCUAAAAGACAAGCGUUGUAAAGAUAACAGAGAAAUUUGGUUUCAGAAGUAAAAAUUCAAAAAGACAGAAGUCAAGGGGCUUAGUAGAAUUUCAGAACCGACUCUUGGUUUUACUUCUUUCGCCCUUUAAAGACAGGAUGAAGAUGAUGUAGCUGAAAUUCACAGUAAUUUACUCUCUGGAUUUUCACUGUUCCUUCGCUGCUCCCGAUUCCCUCCUGCUUCCAACAGUGCCUGAGUAGAGUAAAAUACCUAAAAAACUUCAGGAGUGUGGCCCAGAACCACCAGACUGCAGACCCAUUUCUUCCUGCCCGGAGAGGUUGUGCAAUGUACUUUGAAGAUUAAUACCUUAAGAAGUGUGAGCUGCUCCUGUAAUUACACGCUCCAGCCAGGACAGCUGGGAAUUCCAUGCUCAUGAGCACCAGCAGAGCAGCCACUCACCUGCACGUCCCCUCUGGGGCCUGAGAACUUACCUGCUGCAGAGCCAAAGGGCUUGUACCCACCAGGACACAACUUCACAAGUUCUGGAACCUGGGUGAGAGUUUAUAGGUUGAUCUGCUCAGUGUUCUGAGAGGAACUGUUUUGUUUUUGAUUGCCAAGGAUCGUGGUGUUAUUCUCAAUGAGGCGGAGAAGGCACAGUCACCACAAUCUCACUGAUCCUGGAGAUAUUGUCUCCUUCCUACUCUGUUUUCAUCCCAUUCCUUCCAAAGGACCAAAGCUUUCCAGCUUUCAACACAGGACCGACAGGGUUGCAUGACUUGGCAGGAUGAGAUGGCACAUUGCUGCAGGAACACUGGCAAAGGCUGUCUGAUAACCCACCUACAAGAUGUCCUUGCCUUAGGAAGCCAGUCUCUUUCCAGAAAAAACAACUUCUGUGGCUGAUCUGUCAGCUAACUUGGGUGUGAGAGCAUCAGCCAAAAGCCUUUCCUUCCCCUCUUCCCUAUUUGCACCUUUCCCCCAACCUCCAUCUCAUAUUCCUGCUAGAGAAGGUGGCCACUCUUUCCAUGUGGAAGUAAAAAUAGGGAAUAACCUUUUCUUUUGCUCCAAGACAGGUUGCUUAACUACCUGCCUCUUGCCCUGAAAAAUAGGCUUUAUUAUUUAUUUAUUAUUUUUAAAGUUUGUUUAGCACAAAUACUCUGCUCAAUAUCUUGUAUUUUUUUCUCCUGAGCAUCCCAAUUGAUAUCUUUCCCAUUUUGGCCUGAAUUUUCUCACAGAGGCAGUACCGAGCAAGGUGAAAACUAUGAUCUCAAAAUCUUUAAAACUUCUUGUAACCAAGUUCAGAUGACUGGAUUUUCCAAGCCCUUUACCUGGUGGGAACUAGAACAACGGGGCACCCAACUCUUUACUGCUCACACAAGGCAUCUGCAUCAACGUAUUUUGGCAUUAGCUGACACUGUGGGUUAUAAAAAUAACCUGCAAUAACUGUCAUGAGUUUUUAUUCAAACUGGAACCAAUCAUUCAGUAAGGAAUUCUUAGCCUCAUGCAAAUUAUGCUGCAAUCACGGGGAAUCAAUGGAAUGACUUCCUUUGGCUUCAGGUGGCCUGGAAUCAGGUGGCGUGCAUGGCAUUAAAAAUGAAGGAUGGAGCUCAAAAUUCAAAAGAACUCCCAUUAAUAGUCGGUUUCUUCUUCCAAAAGGCCUGUUGGGCUAAAAAAAGAAGGUUUAAAAAAAGAACUUUGGUUUUUCUCCGCUGGACUAAAAAUGGCAUAUUGUGUUUGGUCAUGGAAUAAACAGUGCUCAAAUGUGCAAAAGAAUUGAACCACAGUUUGAAUGGAAUUCGUAUAAAUUUUAAGACAGGGUUUCUUCAGCGGCAAGAGGAAGAAAAGUUGUUUACUCUGAAAACUUCAGAGGUAAAUAUAAAUGCACUCAAGUGACCUAUGGAACUUCAGGAGAGGUCAGACUCCUGAGGUAUCAGGAUGAAAAGUAAAUUGUCAUUGCUAAUUGGAAAUCACCACAGCCAAAAGGAUCAUUAACAGCUCAGGACCACAGAGCAUGGGAGGGUUUAAAAAUAGAAAUGUGUCCGUGCCUUGACGUGAGACUUAUUCAUCCUUAAGCUAUUUGAGACUGCAAAAUAUUUGUAGGACAGUAUCUUAGAAACACAAUGACAUAGAAAUCCAGAAGAUUUAGACUCCUACUGGCCACACAACAGGGUGGGUAUGAUUUCCUCCCCGGAUGCACCAACUGACAUUGUCUCUUUGCUACAAACUUUGGAUGGCAAAAAGCAAACUGUGAUUUAGCAACGGUUCAAAAAUGAUCUGUAGAUGGCUCUGUAGAGCCAUUUCCAGCAGUAAUCUUUCCUAUUGUCUGCAUUUCCUCUCUUGGGCCAAGCAAACUGGUAUAAUGACUUUCCUCUUUAAUACAUUAGGACUUUGGGUUUGGGAUUUUUUUUUCCUCUCUUCGAUCAAAGCAGGGCUGGGAAGUGGGGUUUUGUACUUACAGCUUUGGGGCAGAAGCAGGCCAAGAACAGGUUGAAUGCAUGUUCUGGAGAUACUGUCAUAUCAAUACAGAAUCCAGCUGUAUUUUUACAAAUAAAAUAUUUGUUUUGCUGUCUUUCAUCCAAGCUGGCCCAUACAGUCCCUGGGAGUCACAGUGAGGAAUGUUCAGGUAUCCCUUGGUCACUUCCAGAUCCCUGCUUCUCUGUUUUAAGUUUAUUUUUUUCCCCUGCUCUCUUCCAGUGAAUCCUUAUUAGCAUAAUCCUGCCUCAGAUUUGCUAUUGCUAAAAACCAAACUUGUUUCUACUCACAUCCCAAAUAUGAGAAAACUUUCAGGAGAAGUACCACAACCAACCACAGUGGAAGCCUGUUUUUGGAAGGCAUUAUCUUAUAUCUAACAAGGUCUUGUUUACUAUUUUUUCUUUAAGAACUGACAAACCCAAACAGUUACCAACUGGGCUGUGAUUUACCUGCUUCUGGUGUUCAUUUCCUCAGAACAAAAUUCCCACCUUCCAACUAAAUGUCACGAGUUAGAGUGUUUCACAUUUUCUGGCUAGAAAAGGAGGAUUGGCACGAAGCCUCAUGCUUUGCCUUCUCACAGAACAGUUAAAUGGGAGAAGAUGAAAAAAUUUCAACCAGCAAAUCAAGUUCUGAGCCCAGCUUUGCCUGUGAAGGUCCCUCAAGGCAGCAAAAGUGUGACAUCCACUCUGCUUCCCUUCAAAGGAAUCCCUGAGCUUCAUUCCUUUGGUUUCACCAUUCCACUCUUAGUAAUUAAUCCACUUUUCAAAUUAAAAGAACGGAGCAAUUAGCAUUCUCCCUCGUUAGGAGCCCAUUUCAAUUGUCCUAGUGAAAGCUCCUACAUGUUAUGCUCUGCUAAAUGCCAAAGAUUAAAUCAGAAGAAAAUGAAAGCUCCCAGGCUAAGAGCCAUCACUUAAUAUUUAGUGUCUACAGUGCAGCCAAAAACUCCCUCUGUGCUCCUGGAGACAGAAGGAUUUCAGGGGGGAUUCACUUUAUCUCCAUGUGGGUCUUCCAAGCAGCUCAAAACCCCAGAUGUACCUUUGGCUUUGUUAGGAGGAUGUCUGUACACUCAGAGCACAAGGAGAGCUGGGAACAGAACCUGUCCCACAGGAGAAACUCUUGCAUAUUUAAGUUUAUUUCAAAUAAGUGUUCAAAGGAAAAGAAAAAACCCAAUAAACCAAAAAAACAAACCAAAACCAAAAUAAAACAGAUUUAGUAUAUAUUUGCUUUUCUUAAAAAAAAUGAUUCCAUGAAAGAAUUUUAUAGAUAUCUAAGUAGUAGUACAGAUUUUUAUAUACAAAAUUCCAUUUCCAACAAUUUACUGUACAAAAGAAAGUAUAAGCAACUUUUACUAUUUCAUGAUUUCAGCAAAUAAUGAAAAACUCUGCUAAGUAUGUGUUCAGGAUAUAGUUCUAUCAUUUACAGGAAUGUCAGUAUUAAGUUGGGAAUACUUUCAGGUGAGUAUUUACAGAUUAAAUCCCCCUUCAAGGACGUUCCCUAAGAUUUCUCUUCAGAACAGGUAGUUCAGGUUUGUCUUUCUUCUGGAUCUUUUGGGCUACCAAGGAAUGAGAGGAAGAACAUGUUUUCAACAAGAUGUGUGGACAGAAUUCUGCUUGAAUUAUUCCCACUCACAGUCCUUUUGCAGUCAGUGGGCCUGAUCUGGUAAAACACUCACUACCAGGAAUAACACUUACGUGGGAAUAAAUCAGGCAGGAUUUGGCCCUCCAGUAACACACUAUCAUAAGUUACAAAUUUUAAAAAUAGUGACAUUCCUGCAAGUCAAAAUACAACAGAAACAAGAG